rnacentral:rRNA from 1 species
CAUGUCUUUUUGUUGAUAAUUUAAAGUUUAACCUGCUCAAUGAUUUAUUAAAUAGCUGCGGUAUUUUGACUGUACAAAGGUAGCGUGAUAAUUAGUUUUUUAAUUGAAAGCUGGAAUGAAUGGUUGGACGAGAAAAUUACUGUCUUACAAUUAUGUUUUGAAUUUUAUUUUAAAGUUAAAAAGCUUUAAUAAUUUUAGGGGACGAGAAGACCCUAUAGAGUUUUACUUUUUAGAUAGGUUGUUUUCAGUAUUAAUUUAGUCAAAAAGUUUGGUUGGGGUGACUAAAAGAUUAAUUAAAUUCUUUAAUUUUUAACAGUGAUUUCUGUAAUUUAAUAAGAACUAUAGUUUUAAUUUAAAGAUUAAAUUACCUUAGGGAUAACAGCGUAAUUUUUUAUUAAGUUCAUAUUUAUAUAAAAGGUUGCGACCUCGAUGUUGGAUUAAAAUUAAUUUUAGGUGUAGGUGCUUAAAUAUUAAGUCUGUUCGACUUUUAAAAUUUUACAUGAUCUGAGU